rnacentral:rRNA from 1 species
UACAGAGGGUGCAAGCGUUGUUCGGAAUUAUUGGGCGUAAAGCGCGUGUAGGCGGCUUCGCAAGUCGGGUGUGAAAGCCCUGGGCUCAACCUAGGAAGUGCACUCGAAACUGCGAAGCUUGAGUCCUGGAGAGGAAGGCGGAAUUCUCGGUGUAGAGGUGAAAUUCGUAGAUAUCGAGAGGAACACCGGUGGCGAAGGCGGCCUUCUGGACAGUGACUGACGCUGAGACGCGAAAGCGUGGGGAGCAAACAGG